rnacentral:rRNA from 1 species
GAUGAACGCUAGCGGGAGGCUUAACACAUGCAAGUCGAGGGGCAGCAUAGGGUAGCAAUACUCUGAUGGCGACCGGCAAACGGGUGAGUAACGCGUAUGCAACCUACCCUGUACAGGGGGAUAACCCGGAGAAAUUCGGACUAAUAUCCCGUAAUAAUAUCCGGAGGCAUCUUUGGAUAUUUAAAGUUCCGACGGUACGGGAUGGGCAUGCGUAACAUUAACUGGUUGGUAAGGUAACGGCUUACCAAGGCUAUGACGUUUAGGGGUCCUGAGAGGGUGGUCCCCCACACUGGUACUGAGACACGGACCAGACUCCUACGGGAGGCAGCAGUGAGGAAUAUUGGUCAAUGGGCGCAAGCCUGAACCAGCCAUCCCGCGUGCAGGAAGACGGCCCUAUGGGUUGUAAACUGCUUUUCCAGGGAGAGAAACUUACGCACGUGUUGCGUGACUGACGGUACCCUGGGAAUAAGCAUCGGCUAACUCCGUG